UACGUAGGCAGCAAGCGUUGUUCGGAGUUACUGGGCGUAAAGGGUGCGUAGGCGGCCUUAUAAGUAUGGUGUGAAAUCUCCCGGCUUAACUGGGAGGGUGCGCUAUAGACUGUGGGGCUAGAGUGUGGGAGAGGAAAGUGGAAUUCCUGGUGUAGCGGUGAAAUGCGUAGAUAUCAGGAGGAACACCUGUGGUGUAGACGGCUUUCUGGACCAUAGCUGACGCUGAGACACGAAAGCGUGGGUAGCAAACAGG
rnacentral:rRNA from 1 species